ACCGAAUAGUGAUGAUACCGUCCCACAUCCUCCACUUUGAGGAUGUGAGUGAAUGUGGAUAGCAUCACAUCAAUGCACGUUAUGGAUAUCAGCGGUGCUUAGACGAUCUUUUACUUAUUAACAACGCAUAAUGAGGGCUUGUUACACACUUAACUAACACAGGAUAACAUAAAUUUCAACGCCUAUAUCGAAAAUAUUUGAUGGAACCGCCCUUACAACCCACGCAUUGAGGAUGUGGGGUCUUCACUUUUCCACUGAUACUCGUACAGUACACAAAUUAAUAACUACCGGCAAUAAUCAACACAUUUUUCUUGAAUAAUACUUAUUAAAUAAAUAAAAUAGUGCGGCAUUCAAAAUGUUGUUGAAUAUUAUUAAUGGGCUUGGGUGGGGUUGGAAAAGUGAAAGUGGAAUGAUGAGCCACAAAUGACAUGUGGAUAUCUCAGCUUUCGCCUGUGUCUGAGUAGAUAUAGCUAUAUAUAACAGGUAUGGUGGCCGAGAUCAUAGAACAUCUGCCGAUAGAAGGUCGUCGGCUAUUCCGAGAAAGUCCAUACCGAUUUAUGGCAAUAGU